UUGCAUGUGGAAAUGUCUGCUCCUCAUUCCUUUAGGAGCAGGGAUACAUCCAUAACAUGCUACAUUAAAAAAAGGAGUUUUCAGGGCUGCCAACCUUACAGUAGAGGUUGAGCAGUAGUAUAUUUCUCCUACAUAA
ensembl:snoRNA SCARNA18 small nucleolar RNA U109